rnacentral:rRNA from 1 species
GAUGAACGCUGGCGGCGUGCCUAAUACAUGCAAGUCGAGCGAAUGGAUUAAGAGCUUGCUCUUAUGAAGUUAGUGGCGGACGGGUGAGUAACACGUGGGUAACCUGCCCAUAAGACUGGGAUAACUCCGGGAAACCGGGGCUAAUACCGGAUAACAUUUUGAACCGCAUGGUUCGAAAUUGAAAGGCGGCGUCAUCUGACACUUAUGGAUAGACCUGCGUCGCAUUAGCUAGUUGGUGAGGUAACGGCCCACCAAGGCAACGAUGCGUAGCCGACCUGAGAGGGUGAUCGGCCACACUGGGACUGAGACACGGCCCAGACUCCUACGGGAGGCAGCAGUAGGGAAUCUUCCGCAAUGGACGAAAGUCUGACGGAGCAACGCCGCGUGAGUGAUGAAGGCUUUCGGGUCGUAAAACUCUGUUGUUAGGGAAGAACAAGUGCUAGUUGAAUAAGCUGGCACCUUGACGGUACCUAACCAGAAAGCCACGGCUAACUACGUGCCAGCCGCCGCCGUAA